UUUUUUAAAAAUCUACAGAGAUUAUGGAGAAGUCUGGUGAGGAAGGAAUGCCUGAUCUUGCCCAUGUCAUGCGCAUCUUGUCUGCAGAAAAUAUCCCAAAUUUGCCUCCUGGGGGAGGUCUUGCUGGCAAGCGCAAUGUUAUUGAAGCUGUUUAUAGUAGACUGAAUCCACAUAGAGAAAGUGAUGGGGGUGCUGGAGAUCUUGAAGACCCAUGGUAGCCUUAAAAACCUUCUAAAAUGCUUUUGAUUCUGAAAAUUGGGGGAAAAAAACUUUUAAUCACAUUUUUCUUCAAUACAAGGGGAAAGUAUUCUUGUGGAUUCCCAACGUUUUGUGAUACGAGCAGAAAAAUCAUUAGCAUUUCCCAUCAUUUGUUCAUAUUUGUGUUUUCUGAUAAUUGCCACUCGUAGCAUUGCCUGUACUCAGUAUUUUUUGCCAACCUCAGGCAUACUGGUUACAUCUCAUCUGUAUUGAACUUUUGGCCCUAGAAAACAGCUGAAUUAUUUCAUCACAAAUCAACACACACGCCUGAGGUGCAUGGGAAUAUAGUUAGCUAUACUCUGAAGAUACAUUAUGGGUUUUUUUUUUUUAAAAACAAAACACAACAUAUAAGCAUGUAAGAGUAAAGAAUUGUAUGAUAUGUUCCUUUUUUCAGUUCACCAAGUUGAAAGCCUUUUGCAGCUCUGUGGCUUGGAAUUUCAUUUGAGCAAUUUACUAUAGGAUAUGUAUUUAUUAUUGUUAUUUAAUUUUUUCCCAAUUUUACCUGUAUUACCAAACUGGGUUCUCCAAUAAUGUCCAAAUUGUAAUGUUGCCUUGCUUCAAGAUAAAGUGUAUUUGGCAAUAAUAUUAUAAACCCUUACAAAUUUUUAUGCAUGUAUCUACUACACCCUUCAACUUUCUCUCACUAGAAAAAUUUUUGAAACCAAAUGGAUUAAUUUAUGGCUAUUUAUAAUUUGCUUUGACAUCUCACUGCUACAAAAUUUUUUAAAUGAUGAGAUUCGCCUUUAUAAAAUGUAAAUUGUGAUUCUUUUGUUUUACAUGUGGAUUUAUAUAGUUAUAAUUUUUUCAGCUUUUAAAAUACAAGUUUUAUGUAAUUUGGUAUUAUUUUUAAUCGUUUAUGUUAUUUUAAAAGCUCAGAAUAUCACAUUGAAAUUACUAUAAAUACAUUUAAAGUCUAUUUUAGAUCUAAGGAAAUAUUACAGAGUUAUUUUCAUGAGUUCAGUAACCUUUCAUUUUAUAACAUUGGGCAUGGUACAGAGUGGCUGUCACAUAAGGUACUUGAAGAUGAUUAGUUUAAUUCUAUUUUUACAAUGACCUUGAAUUCUUCUGAGUUUUGCAUGUAUUCAAUUAAUGCUGAACAUGAAGAGUAAAGUAUUUAUCUAAAAGAAGUUAUUGGGGUAGGAGAGGUAAUGAAUGUAUCCAUUUGUACAUGGUUUUCAUGUUGUGGAUGCUUUGUAAAACAUUUUCCUAUGUGUUUAAAUUGUGUUUCAGCAGGAUGUACUUGCCCUUGUGUGUAGUUAAAACGAGUCAUCAUCUGGUCCUGUGUGAAAUGGAAUUCAUGGUAUUUUCUGUAACAUUUUCCUGAAGCUGUUUCUGGAGAGCCGCACAUUUGAAUACAGACAGCUUUUCUGAUCAUUUGAUUUUUGUGCACCUGACUUUUGGUGUAAAAGGAAUUAUUGCCACAAUAUAUUUUAUUUAUUCUUUAGAUUUUAGCCUUGUAAGUUAAAGCGCUUUACAUGAUGAUGUUAAAAGCUAUUUGUCCCUUACCGGGCUUGGGGAGUUGUUUAAAGAUAGGGAAUGAAGAAUGCAAAAUGGUUUAUUGUUCAAACUGUCCACUCUGAUCCAACCCUGUACUGAUAGUACUUUCCAGUAUGAUAUUGUGAUGUUUCAUACAAUGCAGUGAACAUAACCAACUUGUUACCUAAAUAAAGAAUUGAUAAAAACAGUGUGACAUAUUACUA